UAGGAGGUGUAAGAAGGUGAAACUAUUGAAGCAUAUAGUUUUCUCUGAUACCCACCUCCAAAAUGAAUCUGGUAGCGUGAACCACCUGAUCUCCAGUUAUAGAUCUUGAGUGCUCUGCACCUACCCACAUGG
rnacentral:scRNA from 1 species